CUACGUGCCAGCAGCCGCGGUAAUACGUAGGGUGCGAGCGUUAAUCGGAAUUACUGGGCGUAAAGCGGGCGCAGACGGUUACUUAAGCAGGAUGUGAAAUCCCCGGGCUCAACCUGGGAACUGCGUUCUGAACUGGGURACUAGAGUGUGUCAGAGGGAGGUAGAAUUCCACGUGUAGCAGUGAAAUGCGUAGAGAUGUGGAGGAAUACCGAUGGCGAAGGCAGCCUCCUGGGAUAACACUGACGUUCAUGCUCGAAAGCGUGGGUAGCAAACAGGAUUAGAUACCCUGGUAGUCCACGCCCUAAACGAUGUCAAUUAGCUGUUGGGCAACUUGAUUGCUUAGUAGCGUAGCUAACGCGUGAAAUUGACCGCCUGGGGAGUACGGUCGCAAGAUUAAAACUCAAAGGAAUUGACGGGGACCCGCACAAGCGGUGGAUGAUGUGGAUUAAUUCGAUGCAACGCGAAGAGCCUUACCUGGUCUUGACAU
rnacentral:rRNA from 1 species